AACGAACGCUGGCGGCAGGCCUAACACAUGCAAGUCGAGCGAGAUCUUCGGGUCUAGCGGCGGACGGGUGAGUAACGCGUGGGAAUAUGCCUCUUGGUACGGAAUAGCCUCGGGAAACUGGGAGUAAUACCGUAUGUGCCCUUUGGGGGAAAGAUUUAUCGCCAAGAGAUUAGCCCGCGUUGGAUUAGGUAGUUGGUGGGGUAAUGGCCUACCAAGCCGACGAUCCAUAGCUGGUUUGAGAGGAUGAUCAGCCACACUGGGACUGAGACACGGCCCAGACUCCGACGGGAGGCAGCAGUGGGGAAUCUUAGACAAUGGGGGCAAACCUGAUCUAGCCAUGCCGGGUGAGUGAUGAAGGCCUUAGGGUUGUAAAGCGCUUUCAGCUGGGAAGAUAAUGACGGUACCAGCAGAAGAAGCCCCGGCUAACUCCGU
rnacentral:rRNA from 1 species